rnacentral:lncRNA from 1 species
AGAAACCCAAUUAAUACAACGUUUAAUUCUCGGGUAGCUGGUGAGGAUGAUGAUGAAAUGCUUACUACCCAAGAUUGGACUAAUGUUAAAAUUCUUUUGGAUUUUUUAGAACAUUUUCAAGUGGCUACAAAUGCUUUUUCUGGACAAUAUUAUUCGACUAUUUCUAACUGUUUAGUUUAUAUUGGCGCACUUGCUGAUUUGUUUGUUGAUUUUAGCGAGGGAGGGGACAUUUAUGAACUUGCAAUAAAUGAAAUG